rnacentral:lncRNA from 1 species
AUGAGAAGAACAAAACAAAGUCAGCCGCACAACAUCGGCCAUCUCUCUGUGAUCCACUCUCGCCGGCGACUUCAUCACCUUCCACGACAGCACCUCGAAGCUACGACGCGGACAACUGAAGCUCCAGCCGCACCCUAUCUCCGCAGACUUCACGCGUACAGACCACCUUGCCGUUCAACCAGCUUCGGCCUUCCUCACAUCGCGAUUGCAACGCCGGCCGAUCUCGUUGCACGACACCAUGAACAACCAGCCAACGCUCUACUCAACCUCUGA